UACAGAGGGGGCAAGCGUUGUCCGGAUUUAUUGGGCGUAAAGAGCUCGUAGGCGGCUUAGAAAGUCAGGUGUGAAAACUCUGGGCUUAACCCAGAGACGCCACUUGAUACUUCUAUGGCUUGAGUUCGGUAGGGGACCAUGGAAUUCCUGGUGUAGCGGUGAAAUGCGCAGAUAUCGGGAAGAACACCCGUGGCGAAGGCGGCUCUCUGGGACGGUACUGACGCUGAGACGCGAAAGCGUGGGGAGCGAACAGG
rnacentral:rRNA from 1 species